rnacentral:rRNA from 1 species
UGGGGAAUAUUGGACAAUGGGCGAAAGCCUGAUCCAGCCAUGCCGCGUGUGUGAAGAAGGUCUUCGGAUUGUAAAGCACUUUAAGUUGGGAGGAAGGGCAUUAACCUAAUACGUUAGUGUUUUGACGUUACCGACAGAAUAAGCACCGGCUAACUCUGUGCCAGCAGCCGCGGUAAUACAGAGGGUGCAAGCGUUAAUCGGAAUUACUGGGCGUAAAGCGCGCGUAGGUGGUUUGUUAAGUUGGAUGUGAAAUCCCCGGGCUCAACCUGGGAACUGCAUUCAAAACUGACUGACUAGAGUAUGGUAGAGGGUGGUGGAAUUUCCUGUGUAGCGGUGAAAUGCGUAGAUAUAGGAAGGAACACCAGUGGCGAAGGCGGCCACCUGGACUAAUACUGACACUGAGGUGCGAAAGCGUGGGGAGCAAACA